rnacentral:rRNA from 1 species
ACAGGUGAGUAAUGUGUGGGGAUCUGCCCGAUAGAGGGGGAUAACCACUGGAAACGGUGGCUAAUACCGCAUAACGUCUCAAGACCAAAGAGGGGGACCUUCGGGCCUCUCACUAUCGGAUGAACCCCGAUGGGAUUAGCUAGUAGGCGGGGUAACGGCCCACCUAGGCGACAAUCCCUAGCUGGUCUGAGAGGAUGACCACCCACACUGGAACUGAGACACGGUCCACACUCCUACGGGAGGCAGCAGUGGGGAAUAUUGCACAAUGGGCGCAAGCCUGAUGCACCCAUGCCCCGUGUAUGAAAAAAGCCUUCUGGUUGUAAAGUACUUUCUCCGGGGAGGAAAGCGAUGUGGUUAAUAACCCCAUUGAUUGACGUUACCCGCACAAAAAACACCGGCUAACUCCGUGCCACCACCCGCGGUAAUACAGAGGGUGCAAGCGUUAAUCUCAAUUACUGGGCGUAAAGCGCACGCACGCGGUCUGUUAAGUCACAUGUGAAAUCCCCGGGCUUAACCUGGGAACUGCAUUUGAAACUGGCAGGCUUGAGUCUCGUAUAGGGGGGUAUAAUUCCACGUGUA